ACCAGCAUGGCAUAGUGGUUGAGUGUUGGACUACAACUCUGCAGACCAGGGUUCGAUUCCCACUUGGCC
rnacentral:tRNA from 1 species